GCAGGUAUAGCUCAUGGUGGAGCACAUGCUUAGCAUGCACGAGGUCCUGGGUUCAAGCUCCAGUACCUCUA
rnacentral:tRNA from 1 species